ensembl:lncRNA
UCUGAUGUCCCUCUGGAAUGCUACCCUUGCUCGGAUUUCAUCAACCUUGUUGUCAAGAGACUGGACAUUGGCGAGAAAUACUCCACAGAAACAUCCAAACAUGAAUGGAUCGAUACUUCCAAUCUGCCUGGCUCUAUGUCUGGCUGGCUGGGCUGUAUCUGGCGCUUCUAUUGAAGCUCAGAAGACCUCCUCUGUCUGUUACCUCUGUAACGAUACUCAAUGCCAAAAUAUUGAGUCUGUUUAUGACCAUUUGACGACUAAUUCGACCCUGUGGUCACGAGGUGAAAUGGCUAAGCUGCCUCCCUGUCCCACAACCUCCCCUCCACCAUCUGGAAAAUGCUUGUUGUGUGUUAAGAGUCAGGAGGUCUACACUGCGUGUGACUCAAAGAUCAUCAAGCCAGCCUUUGAGGGCCAAGGCAGCUCCAUGCCUGUCAUCGAAGCCAAUUGCACUGACAUUGUUUCAACUGAUCAGACGGAUCCAAUUGCCCCCACAAUGACCCCUGAUGGCACUGGCAGGUUAUCCAAGGAAACAAGAUUCGCUAUUGUGUCAAUCCCAAUUGCCUUCUCCGUCAUCUUCAUACUCAUUGUUGUUUUGCGCAGAAGGACCAGAUCAAGUGUUGUCUGGUGUCCACAUCAGAUGUCCACUUCAGAAGUCCCCUCAGAGCAGCACCAGACCCAGUUAUAGUUAUUAAAGAGAAAGGUUGACAUUGUGUAAGACAAGGAAAAGAGGAAGUGAUGGACCUGAAUGUUGUCUACUUCCUGGCUAUGGUUCAAACUUGAGGAAACCGUAAGCUCUGUUAGAAAGCCAGGUUGUUACAUUUUGAUAGCUUUUACUCUGCACUUUUGCAGCAGGGUACAUGAGUGUCUUGGGAUUCCUAGGGCCUGGAAGUAAAGUCAGGGAGAGAUCUCAGUGACAGACUUACACAGAGGGUCCUGCCAUUUUAAACCACAUACUUUUUGAUUAGCCAAGUUUGCG